rnacentral:sRNA from 1 species
CCCAGGGCGUCGCUUCGCUUUGCCCUGGGCUGGUAUAUCACGCCCCUUCAGGGCU